GGAAGACACUGCAGAAAUGAAGACUGAUAUGAAGGUUUUGCAGGCUGCAAACUUUACCUCAGAACAGGGUUGCCAGCUCAAUAGCUGCCUUCCCGGACUAGUACCAGUAGAACAUGGGUUACACUGUACUCUCUUACCCAGAAUGGGCCUUCGCUAAGUGGAAGAGGAAGAGCCUGCCCAGUACCUGGUGCGGAAUCAUGGGGUGCAGAACUCUCUGUCUGUCUCUUUUGUUUCUCAUUGGUGGAGCCUGUGCCCAACCGCAAUGCACCCUGAUAACACCAAGUUUGCUACGUGUGGAGAGUGAGGAGACUGUUGUGGUAGAUGCUCAAGGGCACAAUGUUCCAUUUGAAGCUGAGAUUACAAUCCAGGACUUUCCCCGAAGAGAACUCCAUCUUGCCUCAGCCAAAGUCUCCCUGGAUAGAAACAAUGGGUUCCUGGGUACAGCCAAAGUAAAGAUUGGCUCUACAUUGCCACCGGCAACAAGAAACAAGCAGUUUGUGUAUGUCAAUGUGAAUUCCACUUUGUGUAAACUGGAGAAAGUUGUGCUGCUUUCACAAAGCAGUGGUUAUAUCUUCAUUCAGACUGACAAGACUAUCUACACCCCAGAAUCUUUGGUUCUCUAUCGGAUUUACAGCACAAGCUACAAUUUGCAGCCAAUCAGAAAAACUAUAAUCAUUGACUUUGUGGACCCAGAUGGCAUUAAUGUGAAGAGAGACUUCGCCACGAACGAUCUCACCUCCCUGUCAUUUCGACUGCCUCAAUAUGCAAGUGCUGCCUACAGUGAAAGUCAUUCUAAAACCCGAAAAGAAUUACUUUUAUGUUGAUACCAAGACUUUUAGAGUGAAUAUCCAGGUGCUGUAUCUGUAUGGGAAGCCUGCUGAUGGAUAUGCAUUUGUGCUCUUUGGAAUUAAGAAGGAUAAUGUAAUAAAAGAAGUUUUAGAGUCUGCAACAAGGGUGAAGAUCAGUCAUGGGGAGGGUCAUGCCGAGCUGAAAAGGGAGCAACUUGGGAAGUAUUUCUCCAAACCUGAAGAAAUGGUGCAAUACAGAUUGUACGUGAGGGCCAAGUUUGUCUCAGAAACAGGCAGUGAUAAGCUAGAGGCUCAUUCAGAGGAUAUUCCUUUUGUGACCUCACCGUAUAAAGUCUUCCUUACCAAAACCACCAAAUAUUUCAAGCCUGGAUUUCCCUUUCUUGUUAAGGUAUCUGUAACUUAUCCUGAUGGUUCUCCUGCUCAAUAUAUCCCUGUGGUGGCCGAGCCAGCAAGAGUAGUGGGGAUAACUCAGACAGAUGGCACAACACACAUGAUGCUGGACACAAGCCCAAAUAUAGAGCAACUGCCCAUAACUGUGAGAACAAACCAGGGGGAUUAUCCAGCCCAGUACCAAGCAUCUGCAACCCUGACCGCUAAGUCUUACCAUACCGCGUAUGGGUCAGGGAACUAUCUUCACAUCGGCAUUGCUGGAUCUACCAUUAAACCCGGAGAACAUAUCAUCAUCAGUUUUACCACCCGUAACAGUGACCCAAGUCUCCAGAGCCAAAUCCAACAUUUUACCUAUUUGAUUAUGAGCAGGGGGAGAAUAAUUAAGGUGGGCAGGCAGCCACGGCAACCUGGUCAGACUACAGUCGCCAUGUUUCUGAGGGUCACUGAGGACUACCUACCAUCUUUCCGUAUUGUGGCCUAUUACGCGGUGACAACAACCAAAGGGCGUGAUAUUGUGUCUGACUCUGUCUGGGUGGAAGUGGUAGAUACCUGCAUGGGCACGUUGGGGGUGACAGGCUACAAGGAUAAAGAUAAUGAGGUCCAAAGACCAGGUCUUCCCAUAAAGCUGAAGCUCAGAGCUGAGCCCAAGGCCAAGGUGGUGUUGGUGGCUGUGGAUCAAGGCGUCUUUGUGGAGAACAAGAAGCAUAGGAUCACUCAGAGUAAGAUAUGGGACACAGUGGAGAAGGGGGAUAUUGGUUGCACUCCCGGAGGCGGCGCUGACAGUGCGGGGGUUUUCUUUGAUGCUGGGCUCGCUGUACAGACAAGCGACAGGUUUACUACCCCACAAAGAUCAGAGUGGAAGUGCCAGACUCAUUCCCUGCGCAGAAGACGCUCUGCAGAAUAUGAUGAGGGGGACGAUGACCAAUAUAUAAAUGAAUUUUGGCCCAGGGUGGAAUUUCCAGAGAGCUGGUAUUGGAGAAUGGAACAAAUGCCAGAGAAGCCAGACACUUACGGCAUCUCCACCAAGAUCUUAAAUGUGUUUUUGAAAGAUUCCAUCACCACCUGGGAAGUUUUGGCUGUGAGUUUAUCUGACACCAAAGGUCUGUGUGUGGCUCCGCCCUAUGAGAUUAGGGUGGCAAAGGAUUUUUCUAUCGACUUGAAACUGCCACAUUCGGUUGUAAGGAACGAACAAGUGGAGAUUCGAGCCGUUAUCUACAACCACAAGGAAGACAAAAUGAAGGUGCGAGUGGAGCUGGCCCACAAUUCAGAAUAUUGCAGUCUGUCCACAAAUAAGAAGAACUUCCACCAGGUCAUUUGGGUCGAUGGCGAGUCCUCUGCCGUGGUCCCAUUCGUUAUUGUGCCGCUUACUCUCGGCCUGCAUGAUAUAGAAGUGAGGGCAGCUGUCUAUGGAAUGUAUGUUUCCGACAGUGUCCGCAAAAGGCUGAAAGUUCUGCCUGAAGGACUGCGCAUGACCCAAACAGUAACGUCUAUGACUUUGAACCCAGAGGCUGAAGGGAAAGAUGGGGUGCAGGAAAUAACAAUUAAGGCACUGAACCUGAACAGCAUCGUUGCUGGGACAGAUAUUGAUGCCAGGAUCAUCCUACAAGGAAUCUUAGAUGAUCGAACAAGUGAAGGUUCCAUUGAUGGUGCCACUCUCAGUCCCUUGAUUGUGGUGCCCUCAGGCUCUGUAGAGCAGAACAUGGUCACAAUGAUCUCUAAUGUAAUAGCUGCCCUCUACCUGGAUACCACCAACCAAUGGGAGCAAGUUGGGCUGCACCGUAGAGGAGAAACCAUCAAGAACAUUAAACAAGGUUAUGGCCAACAACUCUCUUAUCGUAAAGCAGACAACUCCUUUGUGCCCCUAGCAGCCAGGGAAGCAAGUGUUUGGCUCAAUGCUUACAUUAUAAAAGGGUUUACAAUGGCUGAGGAUUUAAUAAUCGUUAACCGCAAUGUACUCUGUGGUGCAAUCAAGUGGCUCAUACUGGUGAAACAGAUGUCCAACGGGCAGUUCCAGGAGAUCGCGCCUAUUACCCAUACAGAGAUGAUGGGAGGAAUCAAGCUCGGAGAAGCAGAGUCGGACGCUACACUCACAGCCUUUGUACUGAUUGCUAUGCUAGAGAGUCAGAAUUGCAUUUCUGUGGUCAAUAACUUGCUUUUCAGUUCCAACAGAGCUGCAGACUUCCUGAUGGGCCGUUACUCUGCUCUGCGCAAACCGUAUUCCGUUGCAAUAACUUCCUAUGCACUUGCGUUGGCCGGGAAGCUCCAGGACACAAAUAAGUUAAUGUCUGCGGCCACAGAUAUGAGCCACUGGGAGGAGCAAGGCUCACCUUUAAUCUCUGUGGAGGCCACAUCAUACGCUCUUCUAGCCCUCCUUAAGAUGCAGAAAUACCAGCCAACCCAUGCCAUUGUCCGUUGGCUCAAGGGACAGAAAGAUCAUGGAGAGACUUAUAGAUCUGCUCAGGUUCAACCCCUCAAAUGCUAUGCUGGCACGUGUCCAUGAAGGGCGGAUAUUCCGAGAUUUUGUAGUAAAAGCAAAAGGCAAGGGAAAGUGUACGUUAAAGGUGGUGUAUGUAUAUUACGCUUUCGUAUCAGAGAACGAGAGGACGAGCAGUAACUUUGACCUGUCUGUGAAUGUAAAGGAAGAAACAAUGAUUAAGCGACCUGAAGUUGCCAAGGCUACAAUUUCUUUGGAAGUCUGUGCCAGGAAUCUCAAGAAUGGUGAUGUCUCCAUGCCCGUUAUUGAUAUAUCCAUGAUGACUGGUUUCUUCCCUGAUGUUGAUUCUCUUGAGAAACUAAUGAAAGGAGUGGACAAGUACGUCUCCAAGUAUGAAAUCAACAAAGGGGCCAAGGAAAGAGCGAACCUUAUCAUUUUCUUAGAUAAAAUCUCACACACAAAACAAGAAUGUGUCAAGUUUUAUGCUCACCAGUUCUUCAACGUGGGCCUCAUCCAGCCAGCUUCUGUAACCGUGUACGAUUAUAACUCUCCAGAAAACCACAGCAGUAAAUUCUACCAUAUGAAGGAGGGCAGUGACCUGUUGGGCAGAAUUUGCCAAGGAUAUGUAUGCCGCUGUGUAGAGGAGAACUGUUUCCAGCAGCAACAGAACCAGGAUGAAAUAACAUCCUCUUUCCGGGUGUAUAAGGCUUGCGAUAAAAGUGUGGAUUAUGUGUACAAGGCUUCUCUCGUGGAUAUACAACAUGGUGAGAACACCGACUAUAACAAAAUGACAAUUAAAAGGGUUAUUAAGGAAGGCAGUGAUGAGUCUUCUCUGGGUGAGGCACGGACAUUCAUCAGCCACACCAAAUGCCAGAAAGCUUUAGAUCUAAAGGCUGGGCGAGACUAUCUGAUCUUCGGCCCAUCUAGUGACCUUUGGCGCCAACCAUCUGGCUAUUCCUACAUCAUCGGGAAGGACACGUGGAUCGAGUGGUGGCCCAAUGAGAGUGAGUGCCAGCGACGUGUGAACAUGGAUCUCUGUGAUGACUUGGACACAGUUUCUGACACCCUGGAGAUAUGGGGUUGCACCCACUGAGAAACUGGGGCUUAUUUAGCAGAAGCUUCCGACGUCAUUAUUACCUGAAAUGUGCGGAAGGCCAUUCAUUAAAAGUCCUUGCUUUCACAACUGCUAUUUCUGUUGAUGUAGCCAUACUGUUGUGAAUUGAGUGCUUGUAUUCAUGCUGGCAAACCCCGGAGCUACCGCCAUCUUAAAGAAAUUUUUUCCCCACUAGCUGAUUUUUUUUCUGCCAAAUGGCAAUGAUUUUUCUCCUUUUAAUACGAAUAAACUGAAAUAUUCAGAUAA